CGAGGUGGCCGCCCGCCCUGAGGGCCGGCCCCGCCCAGCGGCCCGGCCCCGCCCAGCGGCCCGCCGAGGGGGAGGAGGGCGCACCGGGCGAUUCCCGGCUCGCGGGUGACGGUCGCCCGGGCUGUGAGCGCAGGGGCGGGGCGCCCGCCGGCCCUCUAUGACUCGCUGGCGGGCUCGCGCUCGGCUCCCGCGGCGGCGACGACCGCCACCCGGGCCGCGGGGCGGGGCGGGUGGCGCACGUGGCGCUGGGGGAGCCGCCGGGCGAUUUGCCCUUAGGCUCCGGGACCGAGUGGCCCCUGGGCGAAGGGCGCUGGGGCGGUGCUGGCCGCCACCCCCACCAGCACCGGGUGCCCCCGCGUGGGCCGGGGUCUCCGACCGGGCCGCUGUGCCCUUUGCGCCCAGCGCCUUAGCGCGGUGAAAGUUCCCUCCCUGGCGCUUCGGGGGCAUCGCGGUGACCUGGAAUCUGGAGCCAGGAACGCAGUGAAAGCGGUGUUAUCUGUAGGUUGACAUUUCCACUGAUGGUACAAAAACAGUGGCAGAUAAGUGCUGGUAGUGGCACCAGACUGCACCAGCAGUCAUCAUACUCUUCACAGGAAUACAUUCAUAGCUAAAAGAAACUGCACGCUUCACCUAAGAAUGUCCUCGAUGCAGCAGUGAAAAUGACUGGACUAAAGCUUCACCCUUGAAUGCAAAGUGGACAGUGAGAGAGAGAGAAACAAAGAGAAAGGUCUUCCUUUGCCAUUGGUUCACCCUCCAAUGGCCGCUGCGGCCGGCGCACCGCACUGAUCCGAUGGCAGGAGCCAGGUGCUUCUCCUGGUCUCCCAUGGGGUGUAGGGCCCAAGCACUUGGGCCAUCCUCCACUGCACUCUCUGGCCACAGCAGAGAGCUGGCCUGGAAGAGGGGCAACCGGGACAGAAUCCGACGCCCCGACUGGAACUAGAACCCAGUGUGCUGACGCCGCAAGGCGGAGGAUUAGCCUAGUGAGCCGUGGCACGAGCCGACACUUAAUUUUUUGAGGAACUACCAUACAUCAGUGACUGUGUCACUUACAUUCCCACCAACAGUGCACAAGGGUUCUAAUUUCUCCAUAUCCUGACCAAUACUUGUUUUCCAUGUUUGGGUUAAUGUCCAUCUUCUACUGUGAGAAGUAGCAUCUAGUGAUUUUGAUGUGCACUUCUGUAGUGAUAAGUGAUUUUAAACAUCUUUUCAUGUACUUAGUGGCUCUUUGUAAAUUUUUCUUGGGGGGAAUGUUUUGUUCAAGUCCUGUGCUCAUUUUAAAAUUGUCAUUUUGUGUGUGUGUGAGAGUUGUUAAUGUCUUUAUAUAUUUUGGAUUUUAAUCCUUUAUCACAUGUAUUAUUUGCUAAUAUUUUCUUUCUGUGGGUUGCCAUUUCAUUCUUCAUUGUGUCUUUUUACAUACUCAUUUUAAAUUUAAUGACGUUUAAUUUUCUUUUGCUGCCUAUGCUUUUGGUGUCCUAUCCAAAAAGUCAUUGCCAAAAACAAUACCAGAGAGCUUUUGCCCUAUGUUCUCUUCUAAGAUCUUUGUAGUUUUAGCUUACAUUUCUAUCUUUGAUCCAUUUUGGGAUAAUUUUGUAUACAGUGUAAAGAAUGGGUUCAACUUCAUCCCUAGCACCAUUUGUUGUCAAGACUGUCCUUUCUCCCACUAAAUGGUCUUAGCACCCUUGUGGCAAGUCAUUUGACCAUGCUUCUGACCUCUUUAUUCUAGUUCAUUGGUCUGUAUGUCAGUCUUUUUGUCACUACCACACUGUGUUAAUUCCUAUAGCUUUGUAGUAAUUGGUUUUAUUUUAAAUUCUGGUUUUAUUGUAUGUGAUAAGUGAGUGUUGUGUGUAAUAUAUCCAUUUUAUGAAACACAGAUUUUCCUUUGUGCCCUACUAUCAUUUUUGGAAAUGUUACAUGUACACUUUAGAAGAGUUAUACUCUGUAUUAUCAGAGCAUAGUGAGUUUGUGUAUGAGAGAGAGAAACGGCAGGUACACAAGAGGGCUUGCACACUUCCAUCUGCUGGUUCACCCUGUAAAUGCCUGCAACAGCCAGGCCUGCCAGGGCAAAGCUGGGAGUAGUGAUCAUUGAAUAACACUGUGAGUAUAAUUAAUGAUGCUGAAUUCAACACUUAAAAUGAAAAAAGGUUGUUAUCUACAAUUUACCAAAAUUUUAAGGAAAAUGUAAUAUACUUUAAAUGAAUGAACUGCAUAUUAUGUGAAUUAUGUCUCAAUAAAGUUGUGGGAAAAGCUAUGUAUACAGUGAAGUUAGAAUUUGCUACAUAAAUCAAGUCAAAGAGAACUGGUCUAGUCCUUGGCAACUUGUUUAAACACCUUGCAUUCUUUGUCUCUAGUACUCAGUAAAUAUUUUAAAGUGAUUAAAUAAACUCAUUAGUUUAUGAGUAGACAACUUAAAUACAAUGUGUAUAAUUCUAUCUGGUACCUGGCUCUGAGUUUCCAAGUUUCAGUUGGCAAUCUGAUAACAAUUGUGGUCUCCAUCCUCUGGAAAUGUCCAGAACUUUCAUGUUGCAGUUCUCCAUUCUAAAAUUACACUUAAAAGAAAUGUACAUUUGGUCAAUCUUUUCCCUGUCUGGUGUCUGGAAUUUGGUCCAGAAGGGAAAAUCACUUACUUUCUGAUAUGAAAGUCUAAAGACCUGGCAGGUGUCAGGACACAGACCAAAAUUCCGACCAUUCCCUAAAUCUUCUACUUUGGAGAUACAGAGAGAACAUGAAAGACACAAGCCCUAAAAUAGAAAUUAAGAAUACUCAUGGUAUUAUGCAAGUAACAGUAAAUAUUUAUUUUCAGGUAAAUUAUCUUAUUCAAAAUGGCUUUCAAAUAUACCUCCCCAAUUGCCAGUUUACUCUCUCCCACAUUACAAUCUAUGAUAACAUGGAUAUAAAAUGACAUCUAGAAAUAAUCCAGUAAAAUAAUAAAUGUAUACAUUUAUAUUUUCAAGCAGAACAUAAAACUGCUCUCCAUGUUAUCCCUACAUGUGUGUCAGCUAGCCAAUUGGCAUUUCAUAGAGGAGCUGCAACUUUGGGAGUUGACUCAGUGAAAGAAUUGUUGCUGUGGGUUUACCAUGGAGUUUGGUAAUUAGAGCAAGGUCAAGGUACUGUCUUUUGCUUGAGUAUAAAGACUGAAAGUCAGAUGUCAUCCAUAGGGCAAAGGAAUUAGAUCCAAGGUCUUGGAGUUCCCAAAGCAUAUAUUAAUAAAGGCAUCUGCUUGGGUGACUGAGAUGAAUGGAACAUUCUCAGGAGCAACUGCUCUGGGAAUAAAAGCAAAGAUUUCCAAAGAAAAUGCCUUCACUUUUCCAUCAUUACAUAAGCAUUUUCAGAAGAGAAAAUCCAAAUGGCCAUCUUAAGUAUUAAAGUGAUCAUAUUGUGUUAAAAUGAUCAUAUAGAUAGGAUUAAGUGUUAAAGGGAUCAUAUAAAUAAGAUCAAAUGUCUGGUAAUAAUAGAUAGAAUUAAAAAGGAAUGCUCCAGCAUGGGAAGCAGUCCACAAAGCAGACUCAUAGAAUGACAAUUGCUUUAAAUAGCACUCUCCUCAGAAUCAGCCCUUAAAGCAUUCUGGUCUGGCUGAAAAGCCCAUGACAGCAUUUCAGGCAUGGAAAGCCAAGACACUAUGGCAAAAAAAUGUUCUACAUGAAGGAUCCCUGUAAGACCCCAGUGGUAAGAAGUGGCCAUCAAAGAAGGAUGUACUUUUCUCUGAAGGGAGGAGAGAACUUCCACUUUGCUUAUGGCCUUCUAUAAAUACUGAGGGAGAUUGUGGAUUCAAAAGGUUCCCAUAGCCAUGGCAGCUCUUGUCAAGAGCCUUGGGGGAUUACUGAUGUCGUACAUACAAGUGUUAAUUGUCAAAUCAACAACAGGAGUCAUUGUGCAAUUACUUCCCAUGCAGGACCUCUGUCCCCAAUAAGUUGUAUUAUGAGAAUUGUUCUCAAACAUUUACGUAUGUUUGUACAAAUUGUUGAAAUCUUUACUUAGCCUAGAGUUGGUCUUCUGCAUAUAAAAUUAAUUGAAAACAAAUCUUAAUGGAGAAUGGGACUGGGAAAGGAAGGAGGAGGUAGGGUGGGAGGGUAGGAACGGUGGGAGGAAUCACUCUAUUCCUAAAGUUGUACUUAUGUAAUUUGUAUACGUACCUUAAAUAAAAGGCUUUGUUGGGGAAAAAAAAAAAAAGGAACUGCAUGAGGUCAAGGUCAGAUAGAAUUUUAUGGCUGACGAAAAUAAAGCAAAGACGUUAACAUUUCUUCCUUGCUCAAAGUCACAGAGAUAAGAACAUAAUUUUAGACGCUCUGCUACACACCUGCCCAAAAUACCAGAGGCAACAGGAACACAGCUCCUCUCGACUACUUUCAUACCACUUAACUUCACAUCUGCAGGGUCUUAGUCCACCCUAUCGAGGAUGGACUGGGUCUGAAGAAAGGACCAGCCACAUGUCUGUACACUCAUCAUCAGUUGUCGUCACCUCCCCUGAUGCUGCGCAGCCAAUCAGCUUUGGUGGACGUGAUAGCCUUCCGUGCCCCCGCCUGGGAUCUUGACGCUCUGCGAGGAGCCCAUGGCGCCAGGCGAUCGGUGCAGCCGAGCCAGGCGCUGCUCUGCUCCCCGCCCCUCCGCACCACCUGCUCCCUCCGCGUAGCACUUGGGACGUGGCACUCGCAGCCGCCAGAGAACUAAGAUCUAUUUUCAAUUAACUUUAUACACAUAUGAUUAAUUAUGUUAAGAGUUCAACAAAUAGCAUGAAAAAAAAUACAAAACUGUUCAACAGUUGAGACAA